AAAAAAAAAUCCGUUUUUUUAAGCAAAAAAAGUUAAAAUUUUGUGGACUUUGGUGAAAUGAUUCGAACUAAAACUUUAGUUCCUGAGAUAAGCAAAUUCAAAAACAUAUUUCCAUCUGGAAGUAGAAUUGUUGGAAUAAUGACCCCUAAGAAGCAAGCAAAUGAUGAUGCCGGCGAAGCUCAAAUCAAGGCGGAGAAGAUUGAACCCCUCGUCGCUUUUAGCAGGCCACCUCCGGUCCCUCCUUUCCUUGGACCUCUAGUUGCUCUUUCAUUGCUUGAAUCAUGGUCAUCACGAGAUAGCAACGAUGAUUGAUAACUGAUAUGGUUAAUGGCUUAUGCCUUCUGCCUAUAGAUGUAAGAAAAGUUAAAAGGUUUUACUGUGCUUGUAAUGAAUGUGGAGUCUUGUCUUGUCUUGUCUUCUACCGUCUAUAUGUAUGUACGAAAAGUGAAGUCUUGAAUGUUGUCCAAUGUCAUGAGUGUCAAGCUGUGAACAUGUUCUACUCUUGGAAUUUCUUUAUAAUGAACAGUAAUAUCGUG
rnacentral:misc_RNA from 1 species